UACGUAGGGUGCGAGCGUUAAUCGGAAUUACUGGGCGUAAAGUGUGCGCAGGCGGCAGAGCAAGUCGAGUGUGAAAGCCCCGGGCUUAACUUGGGAAUUGCGCUCGAAACUACUUUGCUGGAGUGUGGCAGAGGAAGGUGGAAUUCCACGUGUAGCGGUGAAAUGCGUAGAGAUGUGGAGGAACACCAAUGGCGAAGGCAGCCUCUGGGC
rnacentral:rRNA from 1 species